rnacentral:lncRNA from 1 species
UUGAAGAGUGGAAAAGAUAAUAAAAUUCUGUGUAACUAAAAAAAAAAAAGGUUAUAAAGAUAUUCUAGGAGAGAAGGGAAAGGAUGCUUUAUGGUUAUCAGAUGGAUACUAACCACAGAAACACAGAUGAAGGGACAAUUUCAAGAACCCGCUAGUCCUGUCAAAGAAUUAGGAGGUAUCAAUGAAAUAAGGGUGUCUUCUGCAUCAGUACAGACUUAG